GACGAACGCUGGCGGCGUGCUUAACACAUGCAAGUCGAGCGGUAAGGCCUCUUCGGGGGUCCACGGGCGGCGAACGGGUGAGUAACACGUGGGUGACCUGCCCUCAGCUCUGGGAUAAGCCUGGUAAACUGGGUCUAAUACCGGAUAUGACCUUUCCUCGCCUUUUGUUUGGUGGCAAGUUUUUUUGGCUGGGGGUUGGCCCGCGGCCUAUCAGCUUCGUGGUGGGGUGAUGGCCUACCAAGGCGACGACGGGUAGCCGGCCUGAGGGGGCGACCGGCCAAAAUGGGAAUGAGACAAGGGCCAGAAUUCUAAGGGAGGGAGGAGGGGGGAAAAAUGCGAAAAGGGCGGAAGGCUGAAGCAGGGAAGGCGGGGGGGGGAUGACGGGCUUUGGGGUGGAAAACUCUUUCGACCCCGACGAAUUUGGACGGUAGGGGGAGAAGAAGCACCGGCCAACUACGUG
rnacentral:rRNA from 1 species